UUUGAUCAUGGCUCAGAACGAACGCUGGCGGCAGGCUUAACACAUGCAAGUCGAGCGCCCCGCAAGGGGAGCGGCAGACGGGUGAGUAACGCGUGGGAAUCUACCCAUCUCUACGGAAUAACGCAUGGAAACGUGUGCUAAUACCGUAUACGUCCUUCGGGAGAAAGAUUUAUCGGAGAUGGAUGAGCCCGCGUUGGAUUAGCUAGUUGGUGGGGUAAAGGCCUACCAAGGCGACGAUCCAUAGCUGGUCUGAGAGGAUGAUCAGCCACACUGGGACUGAGACACGGCCCAGACUCCUACGGGAGGCAGCAGUGGGGAAUAUUGGACAAUGGGCGCAAGCCUGAUCCAGCCAUGCCGCGUGAGUGAUGAAGGCCCUAGGGUUGUAAAGCUCUUUCACCGGUGAAGAUAAUGACGGUAACCGGAGAAGAAGCCCCGGCUAACUUCGUGCCAGCA
rnacentral:rRNA from 1 species